rnacentral:rRNA from 1 species
UACGGGGGGAGCAAGCGUUGUUCGGAAUUACUGGGCGUAAAGGGCGCGUAGGCGGCCUGCUAAGUCGGAUGUGAAAUCCCUCGGCUCAACCGAGGAACUGCAUCCGAUACUGGCGGGCUUGAAUCCGGGAGAGGGAUGUGGAAUUCCAGGUGUAGCGGUGAAAUGCGCAGAUAUCAGGAGGAACACCAAUGGCGAAGGCAGCUCGCUGGGACGUGACUGACCCUGAGACGCGAAAGCGUGGGGAGCAAACAGG